GUGGGACCAAGGUUUAGAAAUGGCGCUGUGAAGGGCGAACUCACCUGGACUCUGACUGAAAAUUUUAAAGGCUUCAGUUCACGUUCUGGAGGCUGAGAAAUCCAAGAUCAAAGAGUCAGCUGAUUUGAGAAGAGGCCAUGUGAAGACAGUGAGAAGGUGAUCAUCUACAGGCCAGAAAGAGAGGCCUCACCAGAAACAAACCUGCUCACUCCUUGAUCUGGGACUUUCAGCCUCCAGGUCUGUGAGAAAAUAAAUUUCAGGUGUUUAAACCA